rnacentral:rRNA from 1 species
AGUGAACGCUGGCGGCAGGCCUAAUACAUGCAAGUCGAACGGCAGCACAGUGGAGCUUGCUCCAUGGGUGGCGAGUGUCGGACGGGUGAGGAAUACAUGGGAAUCUGCCCAGUCGUGGGGGAUAACGUAGGGAAACUUACGCUAAUACCGCAUGCGCCCUUCGGGGGAAAGCCGGGGACCUUCGGGCCUUGCGCGAUUUGAUGAGCCCAUGUUCGAUUAGCUAGUUGGCGGGGUAAAGGCCCACCAAGGCGACGAUCGAUAGCUGGUCUGAGAGGAUGAUCAGCCAAACUGGGACUGAGAAACGGCCCAGAAUACGACGGGAGGCAGCAGUAGGGAAUAUUGGACAAUGGGCGCAAGCAUGAUCAAGCAAUGCCGCGUGAGUGAAGAAGGACCUCGGGUUGUAAAGCUCUUUUGUCCGGGAAGAAAAGCAUCGGGCUAAUACCUCGGUGUUCUGACGGUACCGGAAGAAUAAGCACCGGCUAACUUCGUG